GGGUGGCAGAAGAGAUGUCAAACAAAACAACAACGAAAUAAGUCAUAGAUGACCAAGAGAGUGAAAAUCCUAAAACCCUAAGGUUUUCUAAUCAAGACAAGAAGCACAAAUCCUAAAAUAGGAGAAAGAGGUGAUAUGAGCUCUAAUUGUCAUUGUUGGAUAGGAGCAUGUAUACAUUGCCACACGCAGCGAAAAACGUGAAAUACAUGAAAACAUUAUAAAGGCAGGCUAUUCAAAUGGUUUUUAAAAAUAUUUUUACUAGAUAACCUUUAAAUGGCUAUUGUAGGUAUUAGAUAAUAUGCAACCAUUGUUAGACAGAUAAUAUGCAACAGUUGUUA
rnacentral:lncRNA from 1 species